rnacentral:lncRNA from 1 species
CCCCGCCCCGCCCAGCGAUCUCCGUGCCCUGAGUCCCAGUGACGGCCCCCUGGACAGCGGAGCCUGCUGCAGCGACGCGACGCGCUGGAUCUCAAAGCAAGGCUUGUUGGACAAAUAAAUGAAGAUGAGCCCAAGAGCCCAGGAGAGGGACCGGGAACAGCAGGGCCUCCGUGACUCACACAAGCUUCAUCCCUGAACCAAGGACGCAGCCUGCCAACAAUGGCCCCAAGCCACACCCCGCCACAGGGGGAACUGAUGCUGCGGUGAGAAGUGACAGCUUUCUGUUGACUCUUUUUUUUUUCAAGCAGAAUAUGAAUUGAGACAUACUUUCAUUUUCAUAAUCAGAACCUAACACUUAGUAACCAAUGUUGGUGGAAGCAAAUGAGAUCACAGUUUGUCUGUUCCAAACUCAUCUCUGGGAAAAGGAGGAGGAAAAAUUAUUGGCACUAUGUUCAGAAUCAUAGCUGAAGAUGCAGAAAUUGUUCAUCCCAAUUUUGCCUUUGUAAGUAAUGUGGGGGCAGUUCUUAUUAGUAAUUGCCAAUCUCUACUGAGACACAGUAUUUUGCUAGGCGCUUUAUAUUCAUUUCCUGGUAUGAUCAUGACAUUAACCCUGUGAAAUGCGUACCCUUACUAUCUCCAUGUGAAGAAAUGAGGGAACUGAGGACCAGAGAGGUGAACUGACUUGUCCAAAGACACACAGUAAGGGCUGUGACUCUCCGCUUUCUAAGAUUUUUGUUCUUAUCGCUCCACAGCACAUAGCAGGCGUAGUAUGAAGGCAGCAUGCUGCACAAUUUCGCUGUUUGUUUCUUGGAAUAAUAAUUUAUAGGGGACUGCUUCUAGAUUCCAAAGGAAAGAGAAAGGAAAUAUGCCCCAAACUCAGGCUUUCAGCCUGGCCCUGCCUGACUCACUGAGCUGCAUUGGACAAAUGAUUCAUUCACUGGCCUUGACCUCAGUGGGUUUGGCCACCCAUUGAGAGUGAAGUCACACCUCCAGCACUGCGAUGCAUUUAUUGAUCCACUCACCUAGCUUCAUGGCAGGCAAGAAACAGGCCUGUGUGAGCCUGCCCAGGAUCAGGGACAGGAGAGCACACAGGUGUUUCUGGAUAUCCUCAAGCUGUAGCUGGGCUGCUCGAUUCUUCCCUAGGAGAUCCUCCGGGGGCCUGAAUUAGUUUGCUAGGGCUUCCGUAACAAAGCGCCACAGACUGAGCGGCUUAAAUAAAAAUGUGUCAUCUCAUGGUUCUGGAGGCUGGAAGUCUGAGAUCAAGGUGCUGGGGAUUAGGACUUGAACAUAUGUUUUUUGGGGGCACACUUCAACCCUCCGGAGGGCCUGUGCCCCAAAGAGAGCCUCCUUCUGUGUGCAGUGAAGGUGUGAGUUCUAAACAUGAGAAAAAAACACCCCUUGUUCUUGGAUAGGGUGACUCGAUACCACAAGCAGGUCCAACUGGCCCAGGUAAAUAUAUUCGUUUAACAUGAUCGUCACCAAAAUAUUGAGGGUAGGUGUUUUUUUCUGGAGUUAAACAAGUUGAUUCUGGAGUUGAUAUGAAAUAAUAAACAAGCAAAAAUAG